AUUGGGCGUUUGAUCAUGGCUCAGGACGAACGCUGGCGGCGUGCUUAACACAUGCAAGUGGAGCGACGAACCAGGCUUCGGCCUGGGGCAGAGCCGCGAACGGGUGAGUAACACGUGGGUAACCUGCCCCGAUGACCGGGACAACCCGAGGAAACUCGGGCUAAUACCGGAUGUGCCCGCCUCACAUCAGUGAGGUGAGUAAAGGUAGCUUUGGCCUCCGCAUCGGGAUGGGCCCGCGGCCCAUUAGCUUGUUGGUGGGGUAACGGCCUACCAAGGCUGCGAUGGGUAGCUGGUCUGAGAGGACGAUCAGCCACACUGGGACUGAGACACGGCCCAGACUCCUACGGGAGGCAGCAGUGGGGAAUCUUGCGCAAUGCACGAAAGUGUGACGCAGCAACGCCGCGUGGGGGAAGAAGGCCUUCGGGUUGUAAACCCCUUUCAGGAGGGACGAAGUGCCGGCCGUUAAUAGCGGUUCGGCAUGACGGUACCUCCACAAGAAGCCCCGGCUAACUACGUGCCAGCAGCCGCGGUAAUA
rnacentral:rRNA from 1 species